CCAACGAUCCUAGUUUGAUCUUCAUCCUAGGUAUUUAAAGCCUAAAAUCCCCCAAAAUUUGCCCCAUUUCCCCCUUAUUUCCUCUCUCUUCUUUCCCUCUCCUUCUUCUCUUUUCUCUGUCUCUUCACUCUCUCUACGCCGCCCCAGCUCCGCCUAUCGCCGCCUGCCGAAAAUUGCCGCCGCCGGCGGACCACCUCCAAACACCUCCAAAUUCACGCCACGUAAUCUCCACAACUUCCUCUUUCCAUAUCUCCAAACCAAAUCCUAAAAAAAUCCCUCAAACUCCUUGAAUCUUAGAUCUAGGAAACUUUCCCGUCACUUUUUUGCCCAAAUUCUUGAAGCCCCAACCACUACCACCCCAAAAUACCUAUAUCAAUGGAUAAAUCUCCUCAAGACCUAGCUAUUGAUGUCAAUUCUACCCCAAAAAUCUGGCGACCAAAAUCCGGCCUAAUUCCGGCGACCUCCUGGAACACCCUCUUUGGCAUACCACCAUUUUUCGGCCUUUUGAUGUGUAAAAUGAUGUUUUCACAUUAACAAGAAGAACUCAUCUUGAUUGUUGGGAGCAUGUCCAUUUAAAUAAAUGAGUGCUUAGCUAAAUUUCUUUAUUGUUUAAAUAUAUCUUGUUGUAGUUCAUAUGUAAAAUAAAUCCUUGGUUGAUCAAACACUUUUUUAUUCA